CUGAGGGUGACGCAUUUUGGUUUCUGCAUAUGAGGCAAGGAAAGCUGAAGCGGAAGCUAAAGGCAAGAAAUUGGAACCCGAUUCUAUUGUGCGUCCGAGAAUCAAGUUUUUCUCUUGCCUAGAAUCAUUCACCCAAUCUGAAGUUAUAAACAACUUCUUCAGCUCAGCAGUCAAUGAAAACGUUACGGCGAGAAAAACGACAAGGUUAUCUUCGUUCCCGGACUUUUUGGUGAUUCAUUUGAAGAAGUUCACGUUACGCGAAGAUUGGGUGCCAAUUAAAUUGGACGUGUCCAUCGAGAUGCCUGAUGUUUUAGAUAUAUCUCCAUUACGGGGUGGAGGACCGCAGCCAGAGGAGGAACUUCUUCCUGAACCUCAAGUUCAGCCCGUCCUGCCCGCUAUGGACGAAAAUGUAUUGUCCCAACUGGCUGACAUGGGUAAAUAUCGACAGUUUUCA